GGAAGGACAUAGAGGGAUGCCAUUUGCAUUCCCAAGUUAGUUGUGUGUGAUGAGCCCUGCCUUCCUGGAAAUGGCUGAACAGCUGUCUGCCGAUGGGUGAAUGACUUUGACAAGUCAGAUAUGCACAUCAAAACUGACACAUACUCGGGAAAUGCGAAAUGUUUGUCUAGUACAUGUUGCAUUUUACUCUCAAAUGAAGAAGUACCUAUAAUUCUGUCACAGAUGCAGGAAAAACAGUACCACAGUGGUCAUUAUGAGAUGUCAGCUUGUAAUCUUCACUCGUUUGCUUCUCCUUUUGGGGCAAAUAAAGCUUAAUAUAAUUAUUGAUAAGGCUGUUUUACCUUUUGUUUCUUCUUAUUGUUUUGGCAUUAUUUGAACUGACUUAAGCAUUAAAUUCUUCCACCUAGGGCGGAACCUGUCCAGAUCGGCUGUGCAGCAAGACAAACACCUGGAGAGCACACAGCAGCCUGUCCUUCCUCAGUUCUCUUAAACAAAGGCUUUCCUGUGUAGUAGGAGGAGUUCCCUGCAAGCAUCAAUGCUUUUCUCCUUAACAUCUCCUUUGACUGACGCAUCGACAAAAACCUUGACGUUUGCAAAGGGUGCCAAGCCUGCUAUGAACUCAGCUCAGCGCUUUCACCAGCCUUAACAGAAGUUUAUUGAAACAAUUUAUUCUAAACGUGGUUUUGGAAGGUCUCUACCUAUUCUACACCUGAGAGAGGCAUUCAAGCUAUGUUCCUUUUAAGAUAAAACAGCCAAAUAGUGAGGUUAAAAGAGUUGAAGUUGGUGGCAGGCUUCACAGAACUGAAAUCUUGAAUCAUCUAGUCACAGGAUUUUGGAUACUGAAUUGCUUUGAAAGUUGAAAGAGGAGGAAGUCAACUAAUACAAGGGAUCUCUUGUAUCUUCAGAUGGCCAACUAACAAAGUGCUUAAUCGUAUGCAUGUGUACCUUUCCCAAGAGGAGCUUUCAAACAGAAAUACAGUUAUAUAUUUAGUGAAUGUAAUCCAUAGUAGUU